rnacentral:piRNA from 1 species
UAUAUAAUGUUAAUUUUGGACCAUGAC